UUAAAUUGAAGAGUUUGAUCAUGGCUCAGAUUGAACGCUGGCGGCAGGCCUAACACAUGCAAGUCGAACGGUAACAGGAAGCAGCUUGCUGCUUCGCUGACGAGUGGCGGACGGGUGAGUAAUGUCUGGGAAACUGCCUGAUGGAGGGGGAUAACUACUGGAAACGGUGGCUAAUACCGCAUAACGUCGCAAGACCAAAGAGGGGGACCUUCGGGCCUCUUGCCAUCAGAUGUGCCCAGAUGGGAUUAGCUAGUUG
rnacentral:rRNA from 1 species